rnacentral:sRNA from 1 species
CUGUAUAAAAUACAUAUGCCACAUUGCGUGAUAUAUUACAUAUAUUAACGCAUAUGACGGUUCCGUGAUAUGGACGUUACGCGCUUGCCGUGUUAUAUCUAUGUUGCGGUCCGUUUAAAUAUUGUCUAACGACACACGUUGAUUAUAAUUUAUAUAUCAUACGACAAUGUUAGAGAUUAUCAUAAUAUUUGUCGAACGAUCGACGGUGUUACCGCUGAUGCGCUUUUUACGGGGCGUAAGGCGGGACGCUUUCGACUCUUCGAGUUGGUGCGUUAUGUAACAGUAUCGCACAUACGAGAGAGGGUUGAUGGCGUGUUCAACGCCGUUCACACGUCGCGAGACAGGUAAAUAUUAUCAAUCUCUAUUAAACGAUUGGCGUACACACAAUGAUAUAUAAGACUUGAAUCAUCGACAGUAGGCGGACUCGACGUCCGAAGAGCGCAUCGACGCCGUCGUCGUUAUCGAUCGUUAUUAUUGUAAAAAAUGUAACGUGUCGUAGCGGUUGCGUCGUCGUAACGCUGACGGAUAUCGCGUCUGCCUCAUUUUUUUAUCGUUGGCCUCAGAUCAGGGAGGAUCACCCGCCGAAUUUAAGCAUAUUAGUAAGCGGAGGAAAAGAAACUAACUAGGAUUUCCUUAGUAGCGGCGAGCGAACAGGAAAGAAGCCCAGCACUGAAUCCCGCCGUUGUUCAGGCGGCGGGAGAUGUGGUGUUCGGGAGGUUCCGCUUUCUCGUCGCGAUCGCUCCUGUCCAAGUUCGUCUUGAACGGGGCCGUUUUCCCGUAGAGGGUGCCAGGCCCGUAGCGACGGAGGAUCGCGGCGAGAGGGACUCUCCUUAGAGUCGGGUUGCUUGAGAGUGCAGCCCUAAGUGGGUGGUAA